rnacentral:rRNA from 1 species
UACGUAGGGGGCAAGCGUUGUCCGGAUUUAUUGGGCGUAAAGAGCGUGUAGGCGGCCAGGUAGGUCCGCUGUGAAAACUCGAGGCUCAACCUCGAGAUGUCGGCGGAAACCAUCUGGCUAGAGUCCGGAAGAGGAGAGUGGAAUUCCUGGUGUAGCGGUGAAAUGCGCAGAUAUCAGGAAGAACACCCGUGGCGAAGGCGGCUCUCUGGGACGGUACUGACGCUGAGACGCGAAAGCAUGGGGAGCGAACAGG